rnacentral:rRNA from 1 species
AGUGAACGCUGGCGGUAGGCCUAACACAUGCAAGUCGAACGGCAGCACAGUAAGAGCUUGCUCUUACGGGUGGCGAGUGGCGGACGGGUGAGGAAUACAUCGGAAUCUACUUUUUCGUGGGGGAUAACGUAGGGAAACUUACGCUAAUACUGCAUACGACCUACGGGUGAAAGCAGGGGAUCUUCGGACCUUGCGCGAUUGAAUGAGCCGAUGUCGGAUUAGCUAGUUGGCGGGGUAAAGGCCCACCAAGGCGACGAUCCGUAGCUGGUCUGAGAGGAUGAUCAGCCACACUGGAACUGAGACACGGUCCAGACUCCCACGGGAGGCAGCAGUGGGGAAUAUUGGACAAUGGGCGCAAGCCUGAUCCAGCCAUACCGCGUGGGUGAAGAAGGCCUUCGGGUUGUAAAGCCCUUUUGUUGGGAAAGAAAAGCAGCAGGUUAAUACCCCGCUGUUCUGACGGUACCCAAAGAAUAAGCACCGGCUAACUUCGUG